rnacentral:rRNA from 1 species
GACGGAGGAUGCAAGCGUUAUCCGGAAUGAUUGGGCGUAAAGCGUCCGCAGGUGGCAGUUCAAGUCUGCUGUCAAAGACCGGGGCUUAACUUCGGAAAGGCAGUGGAAACUGAACAGCUAGAGUACGGUAGGGGCAGAGGGAAUUUCCGGUGGAGCGGUGAAAUGCGUAGAGAUCGGAAAGAACACCAACGGCGAAAGCACUCUGCUGGGCCGACACUGACACUGAGAGACGAAAGCUAGGGGAGCGAAUGGG